AACGAGAACUGGGGAUUUUUUUUCUUCAAAUAAAUUAAUUAUUUCAAGUCCUCUUCCCACAGGGUCGACUCCACCCCCCUGGGAAAUCCAGCCCAUCAGCAAUUGGCUCAGACCUGGCCCCUUCAUCUCGGGUAACCAAUGAGCAGCCAGGAAAGAAGUGUGGUUUCCUGUGCCUGUAGCUCCGCCCUCUUCGUCAUGGAGGGGAGUGAGAAGGCGUGUGCUGCCCAAACCCAUUGACCUCUAACCUCUCUUGACCCCUAACCCCAAUCCUGUCCUUGUGCUCUCAACAGUUAUAUUCCUCCUUCAUCAGUCCUACAAUCAAGAAGUGCUGUUCUCUCCUUUUACAGUUCUCUCUUCUUCCUCUGGUUUGGUUUCUUCAGUGCGUCUUCAAUUUGUGUAUCUGGUUGUGUGUCAUUCAACUUUUCUUUUCCUUGUUUCUAAAAUCAGAUGUUGUAGUUUUUCCCCGAUGUGGUGAUUCCCCAGAUCUCAUCUGUAGAGCUCCUGAGAUGUGGCGCGGAGAGAGGAAGAGGCCGUCUGUCUGUCUCUCCAGGUGUGGAAAGUAGAAAACAGCACGUUCCUUUGAGACUAGGAUGUUGGUUUUUGGUUAAAUGGAUGAAGAAACCCACCGCAGGAACACAAGACUUGUUGAAGAGGGACGAGGGAUGGACUGGCUGAACUGGUGGAAUCUGGAUCAGCAUCUUAUUUAAAUGCUGAAAACUCCCCUGGAAUGAAGAGAAGAGAGAGAAGAUCAGGUUGGAAGAGAGGAGAGAGGAGACAGCAGUACAGAGUGGAAGAGAGAGAGGAGAGAGAGAGACAGCAGUACAGAGUGGAAGAGAGAGAGGAGAGAGAGAGCAAGGAGAGAGACAGCAGUACAGAGUGGAAGAGAGAGAGGAGAGAGAGAGAG
ensembl:lncRNA